rnacentral:rRNA from 1 species
GACGAACGCUGGCGGCGUGCUUAACACAUGCAAGUCGAGCGGUAAGGCCCUUUCGGGGGUACACGAGCGGCGAACGGGUGAGUAACACGUGGGUGACCUGCCCUCAGCUCUGGGAUAAGCCUGGGAAACUGGGUCUAAUACCGGAUAUGACUCCAUGACGCAUGUUGUGGGGUGGAAAGCCUUGUGCGGCUGAGGAUGGGCCCGCGGCCUAUCAGCUUGUUGGUGGGGUGAGGCCUACCAAGGCGACGACGGGUAGCCGGCCUGAGAGGGCGACCGGCCACACUGGGACUGAGACACGGCCCAGACUCCUACGGGAGGCAGCAGUGGGGAAUCUUGCGCAAUGGGCGAAAGCCUGACGCAGCGACGCCG